rnacentral:rRNA from 1 species
CCUACGGGGGGCUGCAGUGGGGAAUAUUGGACAAUGGGGGCAACCCUGAUCCAGCCAUGCCGCGUGUGUGAAGAAGGCCCUCGGGUUGUAAAGCACUUUCAGUGAGGAAGAACGCCUGGUGGUUAAUACCCAUCAGGAAAGACAUCACUCACAGAAGAAGCACCGGCUAACUCCGUGCCAGCAGCCGCGGUAAUACGGAGGGUGUGAGCGUUAAUCGGAAUUACUGGGCGUAAAGCGCGCGUAGGUGGCUUGAUAAGCCGGUUGUGAAAGCCCCGGGCUCAACCUGGGAACGGCAUCCGGAACUGUCAAGCUAGAGUGCAGGAGAGGAAGGUAGAAUUCCCGGUGUAGCGGUGAAAUGCGUAGAGAUCGGGAGGAAUACCAGUGGCGAAGGCGGCCUUCUGGACUGACACUGACACUGAGGUGCGAAAGCGUGGGUAGCAAACAGGAUUAGAUACCCUGGUAGUC